GACGAACGCUGGCGGCGUGCUUAACACAUGCAAGUGGAGCGACGAACCAGGGCUUGCCCUGGGGCAAAGCCGCGAACGGGUGAGUAACACGUGGGUAACCUGCCCCGAUGACCGGGACGAACCCGACGGAAACUACGGGCGUAAUACCGGAUGAGCUCCUACCACAUGAGUGGUUUGAGGAAAGGAAGCUUCGGCCUCCGCAUCGGGA
rnacentral:rRNA from 1 species